rfam:Schistocephalus solidus strain NST_G2 genome assembly, scaffold: SSLN_scaffold0000049
GGCCUCGUAGCUCAGUUGGCUAGGGCGUUGGCUGUACUAAAACCUUUCCCUUGCUGGCAUGGGUUCGAAUCCCGCCUAGGCCG